UCUGGGAAACUGCCUGAUGGAGGGGGAUAACUACUGGAAACGGUAGCUAAUACCGCAUAAUGUCGCAAGACCAAAGUGGGGGACCUUCGGGCCUCAUGCCAUCAGAUGUGCCCAGAUGGGAUUAGCUUGUAGGUGGGGUAACGGCUCACCUAGGCGACGAUCCCUAGCUGGUCUGAGAGGAUGACCAGCCACACUGGAACUGAGACACGGUCCAGACUCCUACGGGAGGCAGCAGUGGGGAAUAUUGCACAAUGG
rnacentral:rRNA from 1 species